rnacentral:rRNA from 1 species
GACGAACGCUGGCGGCAGGCCUAACACAUGCAAGUCGAGCGGGGUUUUCGGACCUAGCGGCGGACGGGUGAGUAAUGCGUAGGAAGCUACCCGAUAGAGGGGGAUACCAGUUGGAAACGACUGUUAAUACCGCAUAAUGUCUACGGACCAAAGUGUGGGACCUUCGGGCCACAUGCUAUCGGAUGCGCCUACGUGGGAUUAGCUAGUUGGUGGGGUAAUGGCUCACCAAGGCGACGAUCCCUAGCUGGUUUGAGAGGAUGAUCAGCCACACUGGAACUGAGACACGGUCCAGACUCCUACGGGAGGCAGCAGUGGGGAAUAUUGGACAAUGGGCGCAAGCCUGAUCCAGCCAUGCCGCGUGUGUGAAGAAGGCCUUCGGGUUGUAAAGCACUUUCAGUAGGGAGGAAGGGUGUUGUGUUAAUAGCACAGCAUUUUGACGUUACCUACAGAAGAAGCACCGGCUAACUCUGUGCCAGCAGCCGCCGUAACAC